rnacentral:misc_RNA from 1 species
GAUGAAGAACGCAGCGAAAUGCGAUAAGUAAUGUGAAUUGCAGAAUUCAGAGAAUCAUCGAAUCUUUGAACGCACAUUGCGCCCGCUAGUAUUCUGGCGGGCAUGCCUGUCCGAGCGUCAUUUCAACCCUCAAGCCCCCGGGCUUGGUGUUGGGGAUCGGCGAGCCUCCGCGCCCGCCGUCCCCUAAAUCUAGUGGCGGUCUCGCUGUAGCUUCCUCUGCGUAGUAGCACACCUCGCACUGGGAAACAGCGCGGCCACGCCGUUAAACCCCCAACUUCUGAACGUUUGACCUCGGAUCAGGUAGGAAUACCCGCUGAACUUAAGCAUAUCAAUAAGCGGAGGA